GAUGAACGCUGGCGGCGUGCCUAAUACAUGCAAGUCGAGCGAAGCGGGGACGGGUGAGUAACACGUGGAUAACCUCCUAUAAGACUGGGAUAACUUCGGGAAACCGGUGCUAAACCGGCUACUUAUCGCUGGAUCCACGCUGCAUUAGCUAGUUGGUAAGGUAACGGCUUACCAAGGCAACGAUGCCUAGCCGACCUGAGAGGGUGAUCGGCCACACUGGAACUGAGACACGGUCCAGACUCCUACGGGAGGCAGCAGUAGGGAAUCUUCCGCAAUGGGCGAAAGCCUGACGGAGCCACGCCGCGUGAGUGAAGAAGGUCUUCGGAUCGUAAAACUCUGUUAGUAGGGAAGCGGUACCUAAUCAGAAAGCCACGGCUAACUACGUGCCAGCAGCCGCGGUAAUAC
rnacentral:rRNA from 1 species